GUGAGGAAUAUUGGUCAAUGGACGGAAGUCUGAACCAGCCAUGCCGCGUGCAGGAAGACGGCUCUAUGAGUUGUAAACUGCUUUUGUACAAGGGUAAACCUGAAUACGUGUAUUCAGCUGAAAGUACUGUACGAAUAAGGAUCGGCUAACUCCGUGCCAGCAGCCGCGGUAAUACGGAGGAUCCAAGCGUUAUCCGGAUUUAUUGGGUUUAAAGGGUGCGUAGGCGGAUUGAUAAGUUAGAGGUGAAAUGUCCGAGCUCAACUCGGGAACUGCCUCUAAUACUGUUGAUCUAGAGAGUAGAUGCGGUAGGCGGAAUGUAUGGUGUAGCGGUGAAAUGCUUAGAGAUCAUACAGAACACCGAUUGCGAAGGCAGCUUACCAAUCUAUAUCUGACGUUGAGGCACGAAAGCGUGGGGAGCAAACAGGAUUAGAAACCCCUGUAGUCC
rnacentral:rRNA from 1 species